CACCGCUCCCGACCUCCAGCCUUCGUCCAGUAAGCCCUCCCGCGCGCCCUGUCUCUCCUCUUCUCCCUUCUCCUUUCCUUUCCUCUCUCUCAGAAAUCUUGUCUCUGGCCCAUGGAUCCCGAUGGAACACCAUGGAUCCCGAUGUGGAGCUCCACUGCGGCCCGAUCUGACCUGGGAGCGGCUAGAUCCGUGCGUCUCCGCCUCGCUCCGCGCGGCCUCCAUGGUCCGCCGUCUUCUCCAGCGCCGGCGCCGCGCUCGGCCGCCGCCGUCCCAUGCCAUGGUCGCCUCCCUCCAGAACGACCUGGCAUGGCCACCUCCCCGCCUCUCCCGCAAGUGGGCCUCUGUGCAACCAGAUCUGUAAGUCUGUGCCUCGCUCCGCGGGCCUCCAUGGUUAUCCGUCUUCCCGAGCGCCGGCGCCGCGCGCAGCCGCCGCGCCGUCCCAUGCCAUGGUCGCCUCCCUCCAAAAUGUCGUGCCAUGUCCGCCUCCCUGCCUCUCCCGCAAGUGGGCCGAUGCGCCCCCGACCUAGCAGAUUAAUGGAGGGCGCUGCCGACGUCGGUUCAUGCCUCGGUUCACCUGAUUCCUGACGUCCAAUUCCUUUUGUUGUUGCUAUAUUCAACCUCAUCUCUGAAAUUUUACAUCUUCCUGUGUUGCUGUGCAGGUGUAUCAAGUUUCACAAGGUCAAUGAUUAUUGAACCAUCUGGUUAGGAAGAACUUCUUCACGCUUUUCUUUGUGAAAACCAAAUUUUUUUAUCUGGUAGGUAAAGAUAAAGAUUUUCAGUUUAAUUAUCUUCAAAAUUCUGUGUGUGGGGAAGUGCCUGGCGGUGGUGGUUGGGCACUUGAGCUUGGAGCUGGCCAGGGCAGUGGAUGGGGAAGAGGAGAUUGCUGCUACUGUUGUCGUUUUGUGUAUGCUACAGCUGCAAAAUUCUGUGUAAGUCAAUCCUAGGCGAGUUCUAUAUUGUUAGCCUUUGUGGUGACUGCUACACGAUCCUGAAAGAAACAAGGAGAAUAUAGCUCUUAACUGAAGCAAAUAGGAUUUCGUCAAGGUUGUGCCUCAAUAUCAUGGAUGCGCCUAUGCAUGUCAAUUUUUCUAACGACAUGAUUUCUGCUCUUGGGCUAGCGGAUAGGGUUGUGCUUGUUGUCGAUGCUGCUGAGGUCGGCAUGAAUUGGGAUAUGACCGCUUACACAUCCGGGACACAAGGGGCCGCCAUAGCUUGGUUUGUCUCUUUGGACUGCCACAGUGCCCAUCCGGGCGUCUUUGGAUCCUCAGCCAUGGGCCUUGCUGUCUAUGGAUCAUACGCCACUGGUCAUGUUUCGCCACCUGUCUCUCAGGACAACCACCCCUAUGUUCAGUUCGGGAGGCACCGGAGGGAGCCGACAUGGUCAUCAUCAUUCCGUGAAUGAAUAAACUCUUCAAGAUCACUUGUGCGGCUCGGUUAAAGGUAAACAUGUCCAUAGUAUCUUCGUAAGCAUAUAAGUAAUAAUUUGUAUUAGGCAUGAUUCUCGUUCAACUGUCUAGAGAUUGUAUAGUUGUUUUGACGCAUUAGAUCAGUCCGUACAUACAAAUUGGUUUCAUUGAGAUGUGUUCCUUUUCUAUCAUGUCAAUGACGAAUAUACACUAUAUUUCUUUCCUCAUAAUAAAUUGUCAAUUCUUUGAGAUGGGUGAGGAAAAUCGUCAAGAUUAAAGAAUUGCAGGUUGAAAAGGUAUAUUGUUUAAUCCCAUCUUAUUUUCACAAUACUCGGUUUGAUGUUUUUUGGAAGAUUAGAUUGAAAAACAACCAAUUUUUCUAUCGUACUUGAGUUGGGAGUCAUUGUAGAUAACGUUGUGCAGGUUAAAUUUAUGCUCACUGCCCACACUACCGUAAUUCAUGCAUGUUGGUGCUUUCCAGGUGACGUGCCCAACAUGCUUUUGCUCGAGAAUGGCAAUGGGAAUGUUGUGCUAGGGCCUGAAUCAGUUUUUGAUGUAUACUCUGAAGAGUUACACUGCUAUGAAGUUGGACAACAUUGAAUACAACCAGUGUUGAAGUAUACCAACCGCAUCAGCUUCCGAGUCCAUCGACAAUCCAAGCUUUGUAUCUUUGAGGUUUCAGAUAUUUGAGAAUUAUUAUUUUCUUGUCAGUGAAGGUUAUCAUGUUUUCACACCCGCUCUAUAAUGUUUCAAGGAAAAAUGUCAAACAUGGUUACCUUUGUAAAGAGUUCAGAUCAUCUAAUGUAAAUAUGCAA